rnacentral:rRNA from 1 species
CUGCCGGCGACCGGCGCACGGGUGAGUAACACGUAUGGAACCUGCCCGCAGCAGGGGGAUAAGCGGAAGAAAUUCCGUCUAAUACCGCGUAACAACGUUGGGAGGCAUCUCCCGAUGUUUAAAGAUUUAUCGGCUGCGGAUGGCCACGCGGCGCAUUAGCUAGUCGGCGGGGUAACGGCCCACCGAGGCGACGAUGCGUAGGGGUUCUGAGAGGAAGGUCCCCCACACUGGUACUGAGACACGGACCAGACUCCUACGGGAGGCAGCAG